UCUCUGGUGGUCCAUUGGCUAAGACUCUGUGAUCCCAAUGCAGGGAACCCAGGUUCAAUCCCUGGUCAGGGAA
rnacentral:tRNA from 1 species